AUUGAACGCUGGCGGCAGGCCUAACACAUGCAAGUCGAACGAGUGGCGGACGGGUGAGUAAUGUCUGGGAAACUGCAUGAUGGAGGGGGAUAACUACUGGAAACGGUAGCUAAUACCGCAUACCAUCGGAUGUGCCCAGAUGGGAGUAGCUAGUAGGUGGGGUAAAGGCUCCCCUAGGCGACGAUCCCUAGCUGGUUUGAGAGGAUGACCAGCCACACUGGAACUGAGAUACGGUCCAGACUCCUACGGGAGGCAGCAGUGGGGAAUAUUGCACAAUUGGCGCAAGCCUGAUGCAGCCACGCCGCGUGUAUGAAGAAGGCCUUCGGGUUGUAAAGUACUUUCAGCAGGGAAGCGUUACCCGCAGAAGAAGCACCGGCUAACUCCGUGCCAGCAGCCGCGGUAAUAC
rnacentral:rRNA from 1 species